GUUGGAAAAUAUUAGGUUUACUUUAAUGUUUGGUUUUCUGGGCUUAGCCCAUUAGUAUUAGGGUUUCGUUUUCUUGCUUAUUAGGGUUAUGUUAGUUCUCUAUAUAUAUGGUGUUUUGUAGCUUGUAUAAUUAACAAGUUAGUCACAAUGUAGUCUCUAGGAUUUUUGUAGCCGUCUCGGCAUUCUCUGUUUGAUAUCAAUAAUAUUUCUAGUUUUGUAAUCCGUUUGUUUGUUCAUUGUGGUAUGUGCACUCUGAUAUUCAACUUGGUAUCAGAGCGGGUUUGAUUCCUCGGAAUUUAAUCUGUUCUGGAUGGAUAUCAAUUUGUUCAUUUGUUUGUCCACUGCGUAUCAGUUCGUUAUGGUAUGUUUUGUUGGUUUGUCUGUCUGGUAGUAGUUAGGGUUUUGUUAUAUGUUUUAAAAAAAAAAAAAAUUUGAAUCAGUUUGCUGCGUCAUGUCAUCGUCCUCUACUAAACUUGGAAUCUCCGCCACGAACCCCACAUCACCAGCGUGCUCCUACCAUCAGGACAUCACCGCGCCAACCCGCCACGCCUACACCCAGUGCCACCAUGUCCCGCCUACAACCCCGUUGUCUUACCACCACCUGCUGUAAACCCACAUCGCUCGCCUGCUUGCGCGCCGUGCAGACCGGAUCUGAUAAAGCCACACCAACUUGCUGCAAAUACAUGCAGUUGAUUCGUACCCAUGAGCCUGCUUGAAUCUCUGCACCCGACCCGCUUGUUGCCUGCACCCACUGCUUGCUUGCCGUUCCCAUUGUUCGUUGACCAGAACUCGCGCUUGGUUUACGCGUUCUGGAGAAAACCAUUGGAAAAAAGGAAGCAGAAUAAAAAGUAAGAAAAAGAAAAAAAAAAGUGAUGUUUGAGGAAAAGGAAAAAAGAAAAAAAAGAAAAAGAAAUGCAAAAGUAUUAGAAGCUGGGCUUGCCGUUGGUCUUGUUGAUUGUUUUGGAGAAUGACUAUGGUCGUCUGCUAUUGUACCCACAACGAUUGUUCGAGUGCUUGGAUUGUUGAUUACUCGAGUGAUUAUUGUUGAGGUUUUCGUCUGCUUGUUUGUUGCCGUUGGGCUAUUGGAAUCUCGUCCGUUUAGUGACAAGGUCCAUGCUCAAACGAAAUAUGUCUGCCCUCUGCCAUGUGAAUCUAUAUCCACCUGCCUGUCUGUCUGUCCGCGUUGCGGAGCCUGCCUGUCUAUCUGUCCGCGUUGCGGAGCCUGCCUGCCUGUCUGUCCGCGUUGCGGAGCCUGUCUGCCUAUCUGUCUGUCCCCCUAACGGAGCCAGUCCACAUCUGCUUGUUUGCAAACCCAUGUCGUAUACCGCCAUGAGUUUGACUGGGGGUGUUGGAAAAUAUUAGGUUUACUUUAAUGUUUGGUUUUCUGGGCUUAGCCCGUUAGUAUUAGGGUUUCGUUUUCUUGCUUAUUAGGGUUAUGUUAGUUAUCUAUAUAUAUGGUGUUUUGUAGCUUGUAUAAUUAACAAGUUAGUCACAAUGUAGUCUCUAGGAUUUUUGUAGCCGUCUCGGCAUUCUCUGUUUGAUAUCAAUAAUAUUUCUAGUUUUGUAAUCCGUUUGUUUGUUCAUUGUGGUAUGUGCACUCUGAUAUUCAAC
rnacentral:lncRNA from 1 species